rnacentral:rRNA from 1 species
AGUGAACGCGGGCGGUAGGCCUAACACAUGCAAGUCGAACGGCAGCACAGUAAGAGCUUGCUCUUACGGGUGGCGAGUGGCGGACGGGUGAGGAAUACAUCGGAAUCUACUUUUUCGUGGGGGAUAACGUAGGGAAACUUACGCUAAUACCGCAUACGACCUACGGGUGAAAGCAGUGGAUCUUCGCACCUUGCGCGAUUGAAUGAGCCGAUGUCGGAUUAGCUAGUUGGCGGGGUAAAGGCCCACCAAGGCGACGAUCCGUAGCUGGUCUGAGAGGAUGAUCAGCCACACUGGAACUGAGACACGGUCCAGACUCCUACGGGAGGCAGCAGUGGGGAAUAUUGGACAAUGGGCGCAAGCCUGAUCCAGCCAUACCGCGUGGGUGAAGAAGGCCUUCGGGUUGUAAAGCCCUUUUGUUGGGAAAGAAAAGCAGCAGGUUAAUACCCCGCUGUUCUGACGGUACCCAAAGAAUAAGCACCGGCUAACUUCGUG